rnacentral:rRNA from 1 species
UACGUAGGGCGCAAGCGUUGUCCGGAAUUAUUGGGCGUAAAGAGCUCGUAGGUGGCUUGUCACGUCGGGUGUGAAAGCUUGGGGCUUAACUCCAGGUCUGCAUUCGAUACGGGCUGGCUAGAGGUAGGUAGGGGAGAACGGAAUUCCUGGUGUAGCGGUGAAAUGCGCAGAUAUCAGGAGGAACACCGGUGGCGAAGGCGGGUCUCUGGGCAAUAACUGACGCUGAGGAGCGAAAGCGUGGGGGGCGAACAGG